GCUGCUGCUGAGGCUCUGAGCUCCAGGAAACGCUCCGUGCCUGGAAGCCAGGCAGACAGGGAGGUGACGGCACAGGGCACGGAGCCAAAGUGCUGGGAAUGAGAAUUCCCUGGCAGCAAUGCUCCUGGAAGGAACAGUGCCACCCUGCAGCACGGGCACGGGCCCUGGCACGGCCCUGAGGCCAUCGUUUAAGAGCAGGCCCCAGCAGAAGCCAAGCACCAGGAUCUGAUGCAUCAGGAAGUGUUCCUACAGCACUGGCUGAAAUGAAACAUCAAUCAGACAUCCUUCUUGUCCUUCCAGGCUGCUUGGUGCCUACAGGAAUCAUCCCUCCACAGGCACCAGGGUGAUGGAUCCAUUCCCAGGAGAAAACAGCCCCUCCAGGGGACACGUGCUCACUCCCUGCUGCUGGCAGGCCCCCCACAGAAUCUGGCAGCUGCCUUAAAAUGAUUUCCCAGGGGAAAAGGCUCAGGGGAAUAUUCUGAGGUGCUUUUGGAGCCACCUCUCAGGCAAAGGCUUUGGCCUCACUGUAUGCUGUGCCCAACACUGGCAGCAGCCUGGUGCCAGAGGAGCAGAGGGCCUGGGAUGGGAUGAAAGCCAGCAGGACAAUCCUCAUAUUUUGUCACUGUGACAUCCUGCAGCCCUUUCCUGACUGGGGACUGCCAUCUCCAUGGGACAUUACACUCUCUGGGCUCGUGUCACAACGAGGCCUUUGUGGAGGAAGCUCACACAGAUGUGGACUCAUCCCAAGCCUGUGGUGUGGGGUCAGCCAAAUGGAGACACAAAGCCAGCAAAGAAAACAGAGGGAAAAGCUGCAAACAUCUUCAGCACAGGUAUAAUUCUGUGGGUAUUUCUCAGUAAUAAUGACCCAGACACCUGAUGAUGGCAAUCAAACAAAAAGGUUUCACUGAGCCUAUGCUGGAUGAGAAGAAAGCAAGUUUGACAGACAAAAACUCUUGCAGGAGGCAGAACAUGGCUUACCUUGGUCUAUCCAAAUGAAGGAGCUACAAAUAAACUGGGCAGACCAAAAGGUGGA